rnacentral:rRNA from 1 species
CCUACGGGAGACAGCAGUGGGGAAUAUUGCACAAUGGGGGAAACCCUGAUGCAGCGACGCCGCGUGAAGGAAGAAGGACUUCGGUUUGUAAACUUCUAUCAGCAGGGAAGAAAAUGACGGUAUCUGACUAAGAAGCCCCGGCUAACUACGUGCCAGCAGCCGCGGUAUUACGUAGGGGGCAAGCGUUAUCCGGAUUUACUGGGUGGAAAGGGAGCGUAGGCGGUUCAGCAAGUCAGAAGUGAAAGCCCGGGGCUCAACGCCGGGACUGCGUUUGAAACUGUUGAACUAGAUUGCAGGAGAGGUAAGUGGAAUUCCUAGUGUAGCGGUGAAAUGCGUAGAUAUUAGGAGGAACACCAGUGGCGAAGGCGGCUUACUGGACUGUAAAUGACGCUGAGGCUCGAAAGCGUGGGGAGCAAACAGGAUUAGAUACCCCAGUAGUC